rnacentral:rRNA from 1 species
AGUAACCUUUUAGGAGCUAGCCGUCGAAGGUGGGACAAAUGAUUGGGGUGAAGUCGUAACAAGGUAGCCGUAUCGGAAGGUGCGGCUGGAUCACCUCCUUUCUAAGGAUAUAUUCGGAACAUCUUCUGCACACCCGGAGAACUGAAACAUCUUAGUACCCGGAGGAAGAGAAAGAAAAUUCGAUUCCCUUAGUAGCGGCGAGCGAAACGGGAAGAGCCCAAACCAACAAGCUUGCUUGUUGGGGUUGUAGGACACUCUAUACGGAGUUACAAAGGACGACAUUAGACGAAUCAUCUGGAAAGAUGAAUCAAAGAAGGUAAUAAUCCUGUAGUCGAAAAUGUUGUCUCUCUUGAGUGGAUCCUGAGUACGACGGAGCACGUGAAAUUCCGUCGGAAUCUGGGAGGACCAUCUCCUAAGGCUAAAUACUCUCUAGUGACCGAUAGUGAACCAGUACCGUGAGGGAAAGGUGAAAAGCACCCCGGAAGGRGAGUGAAAUAGAACCUGAAACCGUGUGCUUACAAGUAGUCAGAGCCCGUUAAUGGGUGAUGGCGUGCCUUUUGUAGAAUGAACCGGCGAGUUACGAUUUGAUGCAAGGUUAAGCAGUAAAUGUGGAGCCGUAGCGAAAGCGAGUCUGAAUAGGGCGUUUAGUAUUUGGUCGUAGACCCGAAACCAGGUGAUCUACCCUUGGUCAGGUUGAAGUUCAGGUAACACUGAAUGGAGGACCGAACCGACUUACGUUGAAAAGUGAGCGGAUGAACUGAGGGUAGCGGAGAAAUUCCAAUCGAACCUGGAGAUAGCUGGUUCUCUCCGAAAUAGCUUUAGGGCUAGCCUCAAGUGAUGAUUAUUGGAGGUAGAGCACUGUUUGGACGAGGGGCCCCUCUCGGGUUACCGAAUUCAGACAAACUCCGAAUGCCAAUUAAUUUAACUUGGGAGUCAGAACAUGGGUGAUAAGGUCCGUGUUCGAAAGGGAAACAGCCCAGACCACCAGCUAAGGUCCCAAAAUAUAUGUUAAGUGGAAAAGGAUGUGGCGUUGCCCAGACAACUAGGAUGUUGGCUUAGAAGCAGCCAUCAUUUAAAGAGUGCGUAAUAGCUCACUAGUCGAGUGACACUGCGCCGAAAAUGUACCGGGGCUAAACAUAUUACCGAAGCUGUGGAUUGUCCUUUGGACAAUGGUAGGAGAGCGUUCUAAGGGCGUUGAAGCAUGAUCGUAAGGACAUGUGGAGCGCUUAGAAGUGAGAAUGCCGGUGUGAGUAGCGAAAGACGGGUGAGAAUCCCGUCCACCGAUUGACUAAGGUUUCCAGAGGAAGGCUCGUCCGCUCUGGGUUAGUCGGGUCCUAAGCUGAGGCCGACAGGCGUAGGCGAUGGAUAACAGGUUGAUAUUCCUGUACCACCUAUAAUCGUUUUAAUCGAUGGGGGGACGCAGUAGGAUAGGCGAAGCGUGCGAUUGGAUUGCACGUCUAAGCAGUAAGGCUGAGUAUUAGGCAAAUCCGGUACUCGUUAAGGCUGAGCUGUGAUGGGGAGAAGACAUUGWGUCUUCGAGUCGUUGAUUUCACACUGCCGAGAAAAGCCUCUAGAUAGAAAAUAGGUGCCCGUACCGCAAACCGACACAGGUAGUCAAGAUGAGAAUUCUAAGGUGAGCGAGCGAACUCUCGUUAAGGAACUCGGCAAAAUGACCCCGUAACUUCGGGAGAAGGGGUGCUCUUUAGGGUUAACGCCCAGAAGAGCCGCAGUGAAUAGGCCCAAGCGACUGUUUAUCAAAAACACAGGUCUCUGCUAAACCGUAAGGUGAUGUAUAGGGGCUGACGCCUGCCCGGUGCUGGAAGGUUAAGAGGAGUGGUUAGCUUCUGCGAAGCUACGAAUCGAAGCCCCAGUAAACGGCGGCCGUAACUAUAACGGUCCUAAGGUAGCGAAAUUCCUUGUCGGGUAAGUUCCGACCCGCACGAAAGGCGUAACGAUUUGGGCACUGUCUCAACGAGAGACUCGGUGAAAUCAUAGUACCUGUGAAGAUGCAGGUUACCCGCGACAGGACGGAAAGACCCCGUGGAGCUUUACUGUAGCCUGAUAUUGAAAUUCGGCACAGCUUGUACAGGAUAGGUAGGAGCCUUUGAAACGUGAGCGCUAGCUUACGUGGAGGCGCUGGUGGGAUACUACCCUAGCUGUGUUGGCUUUCUAACCCGCACCACUUAUCGUGGUGGGAGACAGUGUCARGCGGGCAGUUUGACUGGGGCGGUCGCCUCCUAAAAGGUAACGGAGGCGCUCAAAGGUUCCCUCAGAAUGGUUGGAAAUCAUUCAUAGAGUGUAAAGGCAUAAGGGAGCUUGACUGCGAGACCUACAAGUCGAGCAGGGUCGAAAGACGGACUUAGUGAUCCGGUGGUUCCGCAUGGAAGGGCCAUCGCUCAACGGAUAAAAGCUACCCCGGGGAUAACAGGCUUAUCUCCCCCAAGAGUUCACAUCGACGGGGAGGUUUGGCACCUCGAUGUCGGCUCAUCGCAUCCUGGGGCUGUAGUCGGUCCCAAGGGUUGGGCUGUUCGCCCAUUAAAGCGGUACGCGAGCUGGGUUCAGAACGUCGUGAGACAGUUCGGUCCCUAUCCGUCGUGGGCGUAGGAAAUUUGAGAGGAGCUGUCCUUAGUACGAGAGGACCGGGAUGGACAUACCUCUGGUGUACCAGUUGUCGUGCCAACGGCAUAGCUGGGUAGCUAUGUGUGGACGGGAUAAGUGCUGAAAGCAUCUAAGCAUGAAGCCCCCCUCAAGAUGAGAUUUCCCAACUUCGGUUAUAAGAUCCCUCAAAGAUGAUGAGGUUAAUAGGUUCGAGGUGGAAGCAUGGUGACAUGUGGAGCUGACGAAUACUAAUCGAUCGAAGACUUAAUC